CUUGAGGAACAAGAAGCUUUAAUACGGUCAAAGGCGAAUGUUGAGUACUAUAACGGUCAUAUCUCGUCAAAUCGCUUUGAGAGGCGAAUGUUCCUUCUCAAUUGUUCUCGCGACGUUCGCUGCAGCACGUUCGGCGUAGUGUCCUCUCGCUACAAUCCGAUCGAAAAGCUCCAUAACCAGAUGAACAUUAUCGUUAUCCUCUUUUCAGCUUCUUCUUCGAUAUACAAGCCCGAACUCUCCACGGCCUAGUUCAAGCCCCAGUAUAUACUUGUCGCUGAUUCGCGUCCGGUGACUGAGUGAAACCCUAAGUGGAGCCGGCGAGGAAAACGCGGGCCGAGAUCGGAACUCUCCAAGGCCUAGUUCAAGCCCCAGUAUAUACUUGUCGCUGAUUCGCGUCCGGUGACCGAGCGAAACCCUAAGUGGAACCGGCGAGGAAACGUGGGCCGUAUCCUGAACUCUCCAGGACCUAGUUCAAGCCCCAGUAUAUACUUGUGGCCGAUUCGCGUCCAGUGACUGAGCGAAACCCUAAGUGGAGCCGGCGAGAAAACGCGGGCCGUGAUCCCGAACGCUCGACGACCUAGUUCAAGCCCCAGUAUAUACUUGUCGCUGAUUCGCGUCCGGUGACUGAGCGAAACCCUAAGUGGAGCCGGCGAGGAAACGCGAGCUGUAAUCCCGAACUCUCCACGGCCUAGAUCAAGCCCCAGAAUAUACUUGUUGCUGAUUCCUGUCCGGUGACCGAGCCAAAACCCUAAGUGGAGCCGGCGAGAAAACGCCGGCCGUGAUCCCGAACGCUCCGCGGCCCAGUUCAAGCCCCGGCAUAUUCUUGUUGCUGAUUCGCGUCCGGUGACUGAGCGAAACCCUAAGUGGAGCCGACGAGAAAACGCGGGGUCGGUUGAGAAGAAAAGAAUAAAAAAUUCGUGGGUCAUGUGCCGCUUAUAUCAAUCUCGGGAUUGCAUCAGUUGCACUUGUUUAUCUUCUUCUUAGCCGUAUUUCAUAUGGUAUAUAGUGCCAUCACAAUGAUGCUUGGGAGGCUAAAGAUUCGAGAUUGGAAGGCAUGGGGAGGAGGAGACCUCAACUCACAAUUAUGAGUUCUCAAAUGGUAAUGCACGAUUCAGGCUUACUCACGAAACAUCACUUGUGAAAGCCCUCACGAGUUAUUGAACAAAACUUCCUGUCUUCUUUUACAUUGGAUGCUUCUUCCAACAAUUUUUCAAGUCUGUUGGCAAGGCUGGCUACUUGGCAUUACGUAAUGGAUUUAUUACCAGUUCACCUUGCUCCGGGAAGUAAAUUUGACUUUCAACAAUAUAUCAAAAGGUCUCUAGAAGAUGACUUCAAAAUAUUUUUCGGAGUGAGACCCGUGCUUUGGACAAUGUUUGUGGUCUUCUUGCUCAUAAAUGUUUACUGUGAGCUAGUUCAUGGGUGGAGUUACAUUGUUGGAACUGUUGUAGUGCCAACUAAUCAGGUGCUUUUGGUAUCUAUUUCUAUUUCAUCCCCAAGACUUUGUUCUUCCAGGUUUACCUUUCACAUAUGCCUAAGUCUUCAGUGUGUGUCAAUUUAAAAUUUUAAUUUUAGAUAAUAUCUGGUUGAAUUGUGAACUAACGGGAGAGGAUUUUAUCUAUUGCGAAUUUAAAGUCUACUGCUCUUCAAACCGUAGGAACCAAAUUUUUUAUUUAAUCAUUUUUUUUUUUAAUUUAAGCCUAAAACUGCCCGAUCAGUUUUUUUAAUAGAAAAAGGAGUUUGGUGACUGAUGUCUUAUAACUGUUAUCCCAUUUACUACAAUCAACAGUUAUUUUACAAUUGUCUCAACUUUUUGUAUGAUCUACUGCUUGUUUUGGAGAAAUUGUAUGUUCAAAUUGUGUGCCAACUGAGUGUCUGAGUUCAAAA